CACGUACUCCCUUCGUUCCAAAAUUCUUGUCUUAGAUUGGUCUAAAUACAGGAGUAUCAAGCCAUGUUUUAGUAUUAGCUACAUCCGCAUCUAGACAAAUUUAAGACAAAAAUUUUAGGACGGAGGGAGUACUAA
rfam:Triticum aestivum genome assembly, contig: Triticum_aestivum_CS42_TGACv1_scaffold_322680_4BL